AUUAAGACACAGACUGUCAGCAUGGGCUUCUACUUUUUGCAGCCUGCAUUUCAGUCAAAAAGGAGAAGAUAAACCAUGGCAGAAAAACAU
rnacentral:misc_RNA from 1 species